GGUUCGAUUCUGGCUCAGAUUGAACGCUGGCGGGAUGCUUUAUGCAGUCAGACAGCACGGACUUCGGUCUGGUGGCCGAGUGGCGAACAGGUGAUAAUGUAUCGGAGACGUGCCUGAGUAGCGGGGGAUAACUACGCGAAAGCGCUAAUACCAUACGCCCUUCGGGGGAAAGCGGGGACCUUCGGGCCUCCUUAUUAGAGCGGCCGAUAUCGGAUUGGCUAGUUGGUGGGGUAACGGCUCGCAAGGCGACGAUCCGUAGCUGGUUUGAGAGGACGACCAGCCACACUGGGACUGAGACUACGCGCCCAGACUCCUACGGGAGGCAGCAGUGGGGGAAUUUUGGACAAUGGGGGAAACCCUGAUCCAGCCAUCCCGCGUGUGCGAUGAAGGCCUUCGGGUUGUAAAGCACUUUGGCAGGAAAGAAACGGCUGGGAUAAUACCCCGUGCAACUGACGUACCUGCGAAUAGCACCGGCUAACUACGUGCCAGCAGCCGCGGAAGUAUGCGUAGGGUGCAAGCGUUAAUCGGAAUUACUGAAUAAAGCGUGCGCAGGCGGUUCGGAAAGAAAAGAUGUAAAAUCCAGAGCUUAACUUUCGGAACUGCAUUUUUAACUACCGAGCUAGAGUGUGUCAGGGAGGAAUUCCGCGUGUAGCAGUGAAAUGCAUAGAUAUGCGGAGGAACACCGAUGGCGAGGCAGCCUCCUGGGGAUAACACUAGGCGCUCAUGCACGAAAGCGUGGGGAGCAAAACAGGAUUAGAUACCCUGGUCCACGCCUAAACGAUGUCAACUAGCUGUUGGGCCUUCGGAGCUGGUAGCAGCUAACGCGUGAAGUUGACCGCCUGGGGAGUACACGGUCGCAAGAUUAAAACUCAAAGGAAUUGACGAGGUUACUAAACGCAGAGGUGGAUGAUGUGGAUUAAUUCCGAUGCAACGAAAAACCACUACCCUUGACAUGUCUGGAAUCCCGAGAUUUGGGAGUGCUCGCAAGAGAACAGACACAGGUGCUGCAUGGCUGUCGUCAGCUCGUGUCGUAGAUGUUGGGUUGAAAGUCCUGGCGACUGUCGUGAAGAUUUGCUACGAAGGGCACUCUAAUGAGACUGCCGGUGACAAACCGGAGGAAGGUGGGGAUGACGUCAAGUCCUCAUGGCCCUUAUGGGUAAGGGCUUCACACGUCGCACAAUGAGUCGGGACAGAGGUCGCCAACCCGAGGGGAGCCAAUCAGAAACCCGAUCGUAGUCGGAUCAUGAUCUGCAACUCGACUGCGUGAAGUCGGAAUCGCUAGUAAUCGCGGAUCAGCAUGUCGCGGUGGUACGUUCCCGGGUCUUGUACACCGCCCGUCCACACCAUGGGAGUGGUUUUACCAGAAGUAGUUAGCCUAACCUGUGAGGGCGAUUACCACGGUAGGAUUCAUGACUGGGUGAAGUCGUAACAAGGUAA
rnacentral:rRNA from 1 species